ACGAACGCUGGCGGCAUGCCUAACACAUGCAAGUCGAACGCUCCGGGCAACCGGGGAGUGGCGGACGGGUGAGUAACGCGUGGGAACCUGCCUUGAAGUUCGGAAUAACCGCGGGAAACUGCGGCUAAUACCGGAUGUGGCCUGAGGGCCAAAGGGGAAACUCGCUUCGAGAGGGGCCUGCGUCCGAUUAGCUAGUUGGCGGGGUAACGGCCCACCAAGGCAUCGAUCGGUAGCUGGUCUGAGAGGAUGAUCAGCCACACUGGGACUGAGACACGGCCCAGACUCCUACGGGAGGCAGCAGUGGGGAAUAUUGGACAAUGGGGGCAACCCUGAUCCAGCAAUGCCGCGUGAGUGAUGAAGGCCUUCGGGUUGUAAAGCUCUUUUGGCGGGGACGAUGAUGACGGUACCCGCAGAAUAAGCCCCGGCUAACUUCGUGCCAGCAGCCGCGGUAAU
rnacentral:rRNA from 1 species